GCCGGGGUAGCUCAGCUGGGAGAGCAACAGACUGAAGUAAACGAUGUCUUCUGGAGGUCCCGUGUUCAAUCCACGGUCCUGGCA